GUUUGUCUUCAGGGCAGGGUGUAAUUCCCGACCGGUGGUAAUAGUCCACGACCCAUUUCAUUGAAAUGGCUGAUUUGGUGAAAUUCCAAUACCGACAGUAUAGUCUGGAUAAAGAAGAUAGGG
rfam:Melissococcus plutonius ATCC 35311 DNA, complete genome.